rnacentral:rRNA from 1 species
AUUGAACGCUGGCGGCAUGCUUUACACAUGCAAGUCGAACGGUAACAGGCCGCAAGGUGCUGACGAGUGGCGAACGGGUGAGUAAUGCAUCGGAACGUGCCCAGUCGUGGGGGAUAACUACUCGAAAGAGUAGCUAAUACCGCAUACGAUCUAUGGAUGAAAGCGGGGGACCGUAAGGCCUCGCGCGAUUGGAGCGGCCGAUGUCAGAUUAGGUAGUUGGUGGGGUAAAGGCUCACCAAGCCAACGAUCCGUAGCUGGUCUGAGAGGACGACCAGCCACACUGGGACUGAGACACGGCCCAGACUCCUACGGGAGGCAGCAGUGGGGAAUUUUGGACAAUGGGCGCAAGCCUGAUCCAGCAAUGCCGCGUGCAGGAAGAAGGCCUUCGGGUUGUAAACUGCUUUUGUACGGAACGAAACGGCUCUGGUUAAUACCCGGGGCUAAUGACGGUACCGUAAGAAUAAGCACCGGCUAACUACGUG